ACCCCAUGGAGCUUUAAACCUGACAGCACCCGCUCAUUCUAUACCCCAUUAUUUGCCCGACCCCUGUCUGCUCAGUUUUAGGUUGGGGUGACCACGGAGUAUAAAAUAACCUCCAUGAAGAAGGGGAUAUUUCCCUUAUUAGAGAACCACACUUCCAAGAACUAAUAAAUUAAUUUUCAAUGACCCGAUACCCGAUAAUCGAUCAACGAACCAAGUUACCCUGGGGAUAACAGCGCAAUCCACCCUGAAAGCCCUUAUUAACAGGUGGGUUUACGACCUCGAUGUUGGAUCAGGGUAUCCCANUGGUGCAGCAGCUACUGNGGGUUCGUUUGUUCAACGAUUAAAACCCU
rnacentral:rRNA from 1 species